rnacentral:tRNA from 1 species
GCCCCGAUAGCUCAGUUGGAUAGAGCGUCCGCCUCCUAAGCGGAAGGCCGCUGGUUCGAAUCCAGUUCGGGGUGCCA